CAACGCCGCGUGAGUGAUGAAGGUUUUCGGAUCGUAAAGCUCUGUUGUUAGGGAAGAACAAGUGCGAGAGUAACUGCUCGCACCUUGACGGUACCUAACCAGAAAGCCACGGCUAACUACGUGCCAGCAGCCGCGGUAAUACGUAGGUGGCAAGCGUUGUCCGGAAUUAUUGGGCGUAAAGGGCUCGCAGGCGGUUUCUUAAGUCUGAUGUGAAAGCCCCCGGCUCAACCGGGGAGGGUCAUUGGAAACUGGGAAACUUGAGUGCAGAAGAGGAGAGUGGAAUUCCACGUGUAGCGGUGAAAUGCGUAGAGAUGUGGAGGAACACCAGUGGCGAAGGCGACUCUCUGGUCUGUAACUGACGCUGAGGAGCGAAAGCGUGGGGAGCGAACAGGAUUAGAUACCCUGGUAGUCCACGCCGUAAACGAUGAGUGCUAAGUGUUAGGGGGUUUCCGCCCCUUAGUGCUGCAGCUAACGCAUUAAGCACUCCGCCUGGGGAGUACGGUCGCAAGACUGAAACUCAAAGGAAUUGACGGGGGCCCGCACAAGCGGUGGAGCAUGUGGUUUAAUUCGAAGCAACGCGAAGAACCUUACCAGGUCUUGACAUCCUCUGACAACCCUAGAGAUAGGGCUUUCCCUUCGGGGACAGAGUGACAGGUGGUGCAUGGUUGUCGUCAGCUCGUGUCGUGAGAUGUUGGGUUAAGUCCCGCAACGAGCGCAACCCUUGAUCUUAGUUGCCAGCAUUCAGUUGGGCACUCUAAGGUGACUGCCGGUGACAAACCGGAGGAAGGUGGGGAUGACGUCAAAUCAUCAUGCCCCUUAUGACCUGGGCUACACACGUGCUACAAUGGACAGAACAAAGGGCUGCAAGACCGCAAGGUUUAGCCAAUCCCAUAAAUCUGUUCUCAGUUCGGAUCGCAGUCUGCAACUCGACUGCGUGAAGCUGGAAUCGCUAGUAAUCGCGGAUCAGCAUGCCGCGGUGAAUACGUUCCCGGGCCUUGUACACACCGCCCGUCACACCACGAGAGUUUGCAACACCCGAAGUCGGUGAGGUAACCUUUAUGGAGCCAGCCGCCGA
rnacentral:rRNA from 1 species